UUAUCUCCACGUGUUGUCUAUUUUCACUCACCAGCUGUCAACCAACAUUAUUGACUCUCAUUGGUUGAAACUGAAAGCUCUGGAAUAAAUUAAAUUAAAAGGAAAGAUGCGAGGGCAAAGUCGGUGUUACAAAGAAAUAUUGACACGACACUUAUCAAAUUUACCAAAAUGUCCUCUAAAAGUGCAUUAACUUUCAUUAUUUGGCAAAUCUGAACCAAUCACACGCUUGUUAUUGCUCCGGCUGCUUGCCCUCUUCAGUAAUUUCACUUUCCAAUCUAGCACACUCGGGUUCACAGUAAACCUCCUUAUUGAUCUUCUCCGAUUGGUUCAACCGUAAACAAAGGACAGGUGUCGAAGUAUUGUGGUGACUAGUUGUGGUCCAGAUGUAGAUAGAAGAUAGAUAUGAAGAGGAUCAAAAAUAUCUGGCUGAGUCGUCCACGCUGGCAGCGGCACAAGCUCGAUCUGAAAGCAGAUAUUGCACUUUUCUCACCCUUUUUCUCUUCACUGAUACGGUCAUUUUUUCCCUUCGCCGCACUUUCCCUUCAGCUGAACAGACCACCGAAACUCGCUGAAUAGCUUCCCGACUUUCUCUCCAUCUCCAACCCAAUUCGUUUACCGUUUCAGAUUUACUUCCAGACCUAUAUCUGUGCUUCUUGGUGUCUAUUUUAUUAACAAUUAACAAAAAAGGAAAUAAAAGUUCAGUUUUUUUUUGUGGGGGAGUUGUCUGAGUGAAUUAUGGGGGAGGAAGCGAAGAUGACUGAGUUUGAAUCCGGCGGAGAAGAUAACGCUGAUGAGGAGAGAGUUAUGGAAUGGGAGGUUGGAUUACCCAGCGUUGAUGAUCUCACACCGCUUUCUCAAGCGUUGAUCCCGCCGGAGCUUGCUUCCGCGUUCAGUAUAUCUCCGGAGCCAUUCAGGACUCAGUUUGAUGUCAACCGAGCCUCAAAUAAUACCGUCUCCACCAUUCGCGGCGGCGGGGUCUCUCAUGCUAUGUCGUCAAACAAUAACUUCAAGUCGUUUGCGGAAGAGCGGAGCCGCGACCCGAUGGUGGUGGAGGAGGUGGAUGAAAUUACCGAUCGGGACGGUUCUGGAUCUGAUUCAAGGAAAUUGAGGAAGGUUGACUACGCGGAAGAGGCGGACUCGGAGUUGAGGACCGAUAAUCCCGCGGAUGAUCCAGCGGCCAGAACGCUGAAACGGCCACGUCUCGUUUGGACUCCGCAGCUGCACAAGAGGUUCGUUGACGUUGUGACGCACUUGGGGAUCAAGAACGCAGUUCCCAAGACAAUUAUGCAGCUGAUGAACGUGGAGGGCCUGACGCGGGAGAACGUGGCCAGUCAUCUGCAAAAGUACCGGUUAUACCUGAAGCGGAUGCAGGGUAUGUCUGGCGACGGACCAUCCUCGUCAGACCAACUCUUCGCCUCCACGCCGGUGCCGAAGAGCCUGCACGAGGGCGGUGGCGGUAAUGUUGGUAGUGGAGUCCAUGGGAAUGGGCACGUCGGAAUGCCAAUUCCGAUGCCUUAUCCGGCUCCAGGUGGGAUGAUUCCCAUGCCGAUGCCGAUGGCUGUCUACGGACACAUGAGGAUGCAGGUCGCAAAUCAGGGUGACGGGUACAAUAAUGGGUUCGACGGGAAUCAUCCAUACAGCAUGAUGCAUCAACAGAGGGAUUGGUCCGGCAACAAUUUUACCAAUUCUAAUUACCAUAGUCAUGUGGCUCCUAAUGAUAACAACUGAUGAUUAUCAAUACAGAGGGUGAGGUAUAUAAAGUGAUGAGGUGGGUGGAGCCAAGAUUUUUGGUUGAGACAACUUCAUAUUCUCACCCUGAAAAACUUCUCCAGUUUGAUGUUGUUCAUAACUUGGUAGAAAAAGUAGCAUUCUUACUAAAGGCUCUUUCGUCGUGUCAGUUUGCGUUUCAAGGAGUGCCUUCUCAAUAAAAGCUCAAUGGGUACUUGUGUACUUCUAAUGUGGAUGGAGAUAUAGAGAUGUAGUUAGAAAGAGCAUGGAACACUGGCAUGCGCAGUUGAACAUAAUAUAGAAUCAUGUGUGAAUCAGGCAGCAUUGGCAGACCUUCUCUUGGUAUAUAUAUAUAUUCUUCUGGUUACCUGAUGGGAGCUGAACGUUCCUUGCAGCCUAUUACUUGUGGUCUACCUAGAUAGUAGCAAGUCCCCAAGUAUAUUGUUAACUUGUUCUUUACAGAUAGAUGAAGUUAACGUAUUGAUGACAAUCUUAUAUUGUUAUAUCUUUUGUUUUUGGGCAACGAAGCAAAAGACUGUAAAAAGCUAGCAAAAAUCAGUUGGCAUUCAUUCCAUGAUGGUAAUGGAUUGCUUUCAAACUCUUUCAGAUUCAUCUGUUUUGGAAAUGCUUAUUGUCAUUAUGUUCUA